rnacentral:rRNA from 1 species
AUCUGAUCUCAAAUCAGGUAGGACUACCCGCUGAACUUAAGCAU